GCCGUGCGAAGGUAGCAUAAUCAAUAGUCUUUUAAUUGAGGUCUAGUAUGAAUGGUCGGACAGGAGGUAAGCUGUCUUAGUUUGUAUGGGUUGAAUUUUACUUUUAAGUGAAAAGGCUUAGAUUGGACGAUGGGACGAUAAGACCCUAUAAAGCUUUACAUUAUCAGCUAUUGGUUGGUGAAAAUUAAGGUGUUUUGAUCUGAUUGGUUGAUGUGUUUCGUUGGGGCGACGGAAAUAUAAAUCUGUAACUGUUUUCGUGAGAAAAAUAUUUGUUUUUAGAGAAUUUGAUCCUUUUUAGAGAUUAAGAGAAUAAAGUUACUUUAGGGAUAACAGCGUAAUUCCUCCUGAGAGUUCAUAUCGACGGAGGUAGUUGCGACCUCGAUGUUGAAUUAAGGUGUCGUCAAGGUGUAGCAGG
rnacentral:rRNA from 1 species